GCUCCCCAGGGAGGGAGGGGUGGUGAGAGAGAAGGAAGGAAGGGGAGAGAAGAGAGGAGGGAGCCUGGAUGUUUUGCCCUUGUAUUUCCUCUGCUUCCCUCAGACUCCUGUCCCCACCCCAUCCCCCCAGCACAAAAGUGCUGACUGCCAAGUCCCUGGUGCCCAUCUUCCCAAAGCAGGCACUCUUUCCUGAAAGGCCUCACUGCAAAAGAAGAAGGACUCCAAAGUGACCAAAUAUGUCCGAGCAUUGAUUCCACCGAGGUCCGAACUAUUCUAAAGCUGGAAUGGUGGUGAGAAGGAGGAACAGGGAAGCAAUAGGGGAGAAUUGGCCUGGAGAAGGGGAAGCAGAGGGCCGGCUGAAUUUCUCUCCUCCACAGGUGGCCCACAGGCCUGUGCGUCCCCCUCCACUUUCCUCGAUGGUCCUUCCUGCCUUUCCUCCCCCGCCUUCACGCAGAUUCCGUGACCCUGCUUCCUCAUUCACCAUGGAAGGAGACACAGUCCUGAGGAAGCACACACAAGCUCUCCAGCACAUCUGCCUACGCCCCUGCCCUGGCCUGGCCUGUUACUCUAGGAGGGUGGCCACCUCCUGUUGUGCUCUGGACCCCUUCCCCAGCCCUUGAUUCUGUCCCUUCUCUCUCCUGAUGUGUACAUGAACACGUUGUAACAAACAAGGUGGCCUAGACCCCAUCUUCUUCUUCUCUGCCCCCUUGUCAGCACCUGUCCACCCUUUCCUCCUAAAUCCCCCAUCGGGCUCUCCCAUCUUCAUGCUACCAAAAAGCCCUCAUAAAAGUCACCAUGAUGUUCGAUCCAGUGGUCAGUUUUCAGCUCUCAUCCUGUUUGAUCUCUCAGGAGCGGCCAACACCACUGAAGUUCAAGUACAUUUCUUUGUGAGGAUGCCACAUCCUCUCCUGGUUUUCCUCCUACCUCACAGGCUGUUUCUGUUCUGUUUCCGUUGCCCAUUCCCUCUUGUGUCUCUUUUUUGAACAUGGGGUAUACUCAGGCUGCCCUCAGACUUCUCAUCCACACUCACUCCUUGGUGGCCUUCUCCAUUUUUAAAUCCCAUCAAUGUACGUGCUGAUGUCUAUCAAACUGGUACAUCUAGCUUGAGCCUCUUCUGAAUUCCAGGCUUGGGCUCAUUUACAGCUCCACCAGGAUAUCCGAUGGGCAUCUCUUAUUUAAUGUGUCCAAAAACAAGCUCCGAUCUGCCCACCCCAAACCUGUCCUCCCAUGAGUGUCUCCCUCUUGUUACUCUGGCAAAUCAUCAUGGUGCCCUCCUUGACUCCUUCCUUCCUCAGACCCCACAUCCAAACAUCAGCAAAUCCUGUCGGCUCUACCUUCAAAAUGUAUCUGAAUUCCACUGCAUCUCAGUGCCUCCACAGCUACCAGCCAGGUCUCAGCCACUGUCAUCUCAGGCCUGAAUUAAUGUAGCAGCGCCUUAAUGGUCCUCCCUGCCUCCACACCUGUCCCUGCAGCCUCUUCUCAGCACGGCAGCCAGUGGGAUCCUCCAAAAAAGGAAGUCAGAUCAUGUCACUCUUUUGCUCAAAACCUCCUAGUGCCUCCUGUGUCUCAGAACAAAGGCGGGUCCUUGCAGUGGCCCCUUGUGUGGCCUCUCCCACCUCUGACCUCUCAGCACCAGCUACUCUUAACCGCUAGCUGUUCCUUGACCUGCCAGGUGGGCUCUGCGGGAAACUGUCCCCCCAGGUGUCUGCCAGGUUUGCUUCCUCAUCACUUUCAAACGCGCCCCUCUGUCACCUUCUAGUACAGCCUUCCCUGGUGACCCUGCGUAAGGUUACAACACCAGCCCCGUUGUCACCCUUGUUUUCCAUAUAUCACCGUCUCACAUACCCUAUAUUUUACUUACUUACUCUCUAUCUCCCACUCUAAUAUAAGAUCCACAGGACCAGAGACAUCGAUUUUGGUUCACGGCUGUAUCCCUAGAGUAGUGCCCAGAAAACAUGUGUUGAAUAAAUGAGCGACUAUGAAGAGAAUUCAGAGUAGUUGUUCCCUGAGUUUAGUAAAGACCAGAAGAUAUUCCAGUGAACCUUGAGAGUCAGUUCAGGUGAGAUAGAGCAAUAGGUGACAGAGAGCAGGGCUGGGUAUCUUUAAAAAAAUUUUUUUAACAUCUUUUUUGUGGUAUGGUUCCUGACAAUAAACUACACAUAUUUCAGAUGUACAAGUUGAUGAGUUUUGAUAGAUGUAUACACCCAUGAAACCACCACCACAAUCAAGAUAGCAAACAUUCCCAUCCCUCCCCAAGAGGUGCAAUUUUUGAAUUCCCAAUUUAUCCCUUCCCACUCCCUUUACCCACUGGUAACCAUAAGUUUGUUCUCUAUGUCUGUGAGUCUGUUUCUGUUUUGUAGAUAAGUUCAUUUAUGGCCCUUUUUUUAGAUUCCACAUAUAAGUGAUAUCACACGGCAUUUUUCUUUCUGUUUCUGGCUUACUUCACUUAGAAUGACAAUCUCCAGGUCCAUCCAUGUUGCUGCAAAUGGCAUUGUUUUAUUCUUUUUUUUAUAGCUGAGUAGUAUUCCAUUGUAUAUAUAUAUAUAUAUAUACCACAUCUUUAUCCAGUCAUCUGUCGAUGGACACUUGGGUUGUUUCCAUGUCUUGGCUAUUGUAAAUAGUGCUGCUGUGAACAUUAGGGUGCAUGUGUCUUUUUGAGUUAUAUUUUUCUCUGGAUAUAUGCCCAGGAGUGGGAUUGCUGGAUCAUAUGGUAAGUCUAUUUUUAGUUUUCUAAGGAACCUCUAUACUGUCCUCCAUCGUGGCUGCAUGAAUUUACUUUCCUACCAGCAGUGUAGGAGGGUUCCUUUUUCUCCACACCCUCUCUAGCAUUUAUCGUUUGUAGACUUUUUAAUUAUGGCCAUUCUGACUGGUGUGAGGUGAUAUCUCAUUGUGGUUUUUUGAUUUACAUUUCUCUAACAAUUAGUGAUGUUGGGGGCUGGGUACCACUUGGAGGAAAGUAGGUGACCAUCUAUCCUGGGCCAGUUCUAUAGUUAGCCAGACUUUGUGGGAGGAGAGCUAUUUUUCUGAGCUUUAUGUAACAGAUGUAGUUUUGUAUAAAUCACACUUCUGUAAAAGGAAUCCUAUUUUAAAUGCACUAGCAGAGAUUGCUAUUUAAAGGAAUCUGAUGUCAAAUUCUUUUGUAAAAUGAUUACUCUCCUAAUUUGUCCUCACCGUCAAUUCAUAUUUUCUCCCCCUCCAGAUUAUAUUUACUUAAAUAAAGUAUGCCUGUUUGAGCUGAGGAAAUCUCAUUUUCCAUUUUUCCUCUGUCUUUAUUAUUCCCUUUUUCUUUGCCCUCCUUUUUCCCUUUCCUCAUUCCUGCUUUUCCGUUAGCUGAAUUUUUUUUCCCUCUCUUAGACCCUGACAUGGAAUGUUCUGUAACAUGACCGGAUGUAGAGUGCAAUGAACAGCAGCUCCAUCUCAGACCAGAUGAAUCCAGUCUGGGUGGAGGAAAGGAAUCUGUUAAGGACGCAUGAAUGCGUCCUGGGGGUCCAGGGGUCAGUUCUUAGGUGAUGUCCAGGUACAGCCAAGUUGGUGAAGCACUGACCAAAAAACACCAUCUGCCGUUUGCCCCUCGCACAUCUAAGCUUAUACUCUGCAGAGCUGAUGAGGCUGGAGGGGCAUCUUCUGGGGCUUUGCACAAGGUGCCUGGUGUGAAUUUGGCCGUAGACUGUCACAGGACUGGCUGAUUUGUCUGGGGGCUGGAGGUCAGGGCUCGGGAAUAACCCCUCUCAGUCUGUCACCCACCUGCCAGUAUCUCAGAUGAGAGUGCACACCUGUGACAGCUGCCUGAUGGAGUUCAGUCCUGGUGCUCUGAACGGUGUCUGCCUGCAGUUACCUUGGACUUCACUGGCCCAGCACCCAAUCUUUACCUUCAAGACUAGAGUGGGUUCCUCCCAAGAGAAGAUACAACUGUGUGUUACGGGGGUUUGGUGGGAGGUGUGCAAGCAACUAAGACCAGAACCCACUUCCGUGACAGUAGUACAAGUUGACUUGUUUAGACCUUACGGAAGGUCUUCCUUCAGGUACCUACUCUAAGUUUUUUGAAAACUCUCUCUGAUUCUCAACAGACCAAAGAUCUUAACAAUUGUGUUGAACUCAGAGCAGGGGUUUAGUAAAGAAGUUGGCUUUGGCUAAGAGUUCAGGUGUAACCAUCUACGUUGUAGAAUGUAGACCAUGUGCCCGACUGGUGUGCCUGACUGGUGUGACUUGACCUCUCCGAGCCCACUUGUUUAUCUACAAAGUGUGCCCAGCCUCCCUUGCCAGGGUUUCUUGGCAUCAGUAGGACUGCAGAUGAAAGCUUUGUGAAGGGCUGGACAAUAAUGGAGAAAUGCUAUUGUCACUAGUAUCCAAGCGCACCUGGUCUUCACACAUUUGAAGGAGCCAAACAGGUGAAUUGGGACGGUUGAAUGUGACCUAAUUCAUUACAGGAGUCAAGUAAGAUAUUUUCACAUGGUUGUCCCCUUGUGUAAAAUGGGAUUCGAUUUCUUAAUCAAUUGCCUUUUGGGAAAAUCAGGUCACAGCUGUGUGGCGACCCCCCACUAUCUGAAGAAGAAGAAGAAGCUGAAGAAGGAGGCAUGAGGGGGUGUCGCUGAAAUCACAUGGGAGGGUUCGGAUUUCAUGAGAUCAGGGACCCCUCUGGCUUUCUCAGCUGGGAGAACCCACGAGGAAAGUUACUCUUGCUGCUUUACUUGGGUGCGUUGUGGUGGAGGGUAGAGGUCAAGGGCCACUUAGAUAGUAAUAUGGGGGUGAGAUGGGGGUGUGUGCUGUAGAAAUAGAACAAAAACCAGAGAUUUGGGGAGUAGGGGAAGCAGCAGGCCCUGGCAUUGUCUCCGUGUGGCAAGUUCCUCCUGGCUCAUUCAUUCGGCAGAUGGAGACACUGUUAGGAGCAGAGAUCUGGGAGAGGCACGGAGGCGGGGAGGGGGCAUCCUGUGCUCAGGCACCUCCUCCCCCUUGUGUCUUAAGAGAAUCAGGGCAAAGUUGCUUUAUGUUGCUGAAAGAGAAGAGACAAAACUAACCUCCCUGUUAGAAAUCUGUGAGGUGGAGAGUGAUGGGGGCAGAGGAAGUUGAGCAACACCGGUGGUUUGGGGAGAGACACAGCUCAGGGUUUCGACUCUUGCAGACCAGCUGUCCAUCUGGAAGGCAAGUGUUGCGAAAGGCCGCUGAAGCCUGGCUCGGAGCUUCCUGAGUGACAGGGAUGUGUCUGACAAGCCUGCCCAGGGCAUCAUUCUUUAGGCAGAGUCCUUGCCCAAAGGGGGACUCUCCUGAGUUCUCGGGGCAGCCCCUGUGAAUGUGGCGUUGCAAUUCAGGGCACUUGGAAAGCAGAACCAAGGCUUCCUCUGUGACAAGAGAAACAGAACUGGGUGGGGGUAGGGAGGCAGGGGAUGCCUUUCUGAAGCCACAGCUGCUGGCAGGCGGGGGAGAGGGAAAUGGGCCAGCAUCUCCUUUUCCCUGAGACGUGGUGUGUCAGUAUCUAACCCUUGUGCCCUACAUUUUGGGGCCUUCUGAAAGCCAUGGCGAUCUUUGCCUGAGGAUGUGCAGGAUGACCUGGCUGAUGAGGACUCUUCAGUCAUCACGAUAAAUGAAGGCGGGAAGAUGGAGCUCACUGGCUUCUUCUCCGGGUCAGGAGGACAUGACGGGGGUCCCUCUUUCUGCCAUCGGUCGCCCUUGUGCUGGAUGGUCUGAUUCAGAGCCUGUAAGAAAUUUCUGGGGACCUUGGGGGAUACAGAGAUGGGGGUCUCUCCUGGCAGAGUGGCAGAGAAAACGAGUAGAAGGGCUGUGCGACACUCCUCCAGUGUAAACACUUCUCCGGUGACUGAACGUAUUAGUGCCCGCUUUCCCAAGUCCCCUUGUCCACUUCUCAUGAAACCUGACUUCUUUAUAUCUAAAGCCAGGUAUAUUGAGCUAUAAUUUCUAUACAGUAAAGUUCACCGUUGUUAGGGCACCGUUCCCUGAGUUUUGACAGUCACAUGCAGUCGGGUAACCUCUUCGCAGUCAAGAUUUGAAACAGUUCUAUCACCCCCCAAAAUUCCUUCGUGCCCCUUUGUAGUUGCCCCUUCUACACCCCCAGCCCUUGGCAAUGACUGAUCUUGUUUUCUAUUCCUGUAGUUCCAACUUCUCCAGGAUGUCCUAUAAAUGGAUUCAUGGAGUGUGUGGCCCUUUGAGUCUGGCUUCUUUCAAUUGACGUAAUACUUUCAGGAUUCACCUACUGUUGUCGUGAACCAGAAGUUUAUUCCUUUGAUUGAGUCGCUUUCUGUGGUGUGACUGUGCUGCCGUUUGUGGACCUGUCCCCAGGUGGAAGGACAUUGGGGUUGUGUCCAGUUUGGGGAGGUGAUGAAGACAGAACCUGGCUGCUCUUCAUCCUCACUCAGGGUCCCUGUUGGACCCAGCGACCAUCUAUUUCACAGGCGUUGGGAACUAACACAUUUGAAGACACCUGCGCCCUCUCUUCCCCAUCGUGCCUCCCCACUGCCACUUUCCCUGAUUUCUGUUCUCUCAUCUCACCUCCUGGGGCUCACCGUCCUAGCUGGUUUCCUUUGCACACACCCGCUUGAUCCACAUUCGUCGUAGAAUGGGGUGCCCAGAGCCGAACGCGUUGUUAUUUGGUGCCCAGCAGACUCUCUGGCACGUGGUAGGAUGAAUCGGUACUCCAAGUGUGGUUGACAGCUGUAAAACCAAGGAUUGGCUGUUGUUCUAGAUCUUAUCAUUCUGUUGAUGUGGCUUAAAAUGAAAUUAGCUUCUUAAACUUUAUUUUAUUAUGGUGGCCACAUCAUACUGUCCAUGAACUUAUGGGGAACCACUGGGCGUAAGCUCAGCCCUUUUCAGUUAGUCUGCAGUUCGGCCACAGGCACUUGGAUUCUGGGCCAGGAAUCUUCCGUCCUGUUGGUUUUUCCCCACGGUCGUACUCUACCCAUAUCAUCCGGAUGCACUGGCUGUUACUCUCAGCAUGAAUUAGAUCGGUCACUGUGCGUCUUUAUCCCCUCACUGGUAGACACAGGGAGCAGAACCAGGCCUCGGGCACCAGCGCGCCUCACCCCCUAGAUGAUGACAGCCAAUAACCAGACCUGUAAGAGUGGACCUCUACCCUCAGGGACCUCCCUGUCUAGCCCAGGGGACACCAAAUUUUUUCUGCAAAAGUCCAGAUGGUGAAUAUUUUUGGCUUUGUGGCCAGCUGCUGCUGCUGCUGUUGCUUCUCCCUCCUCCUUCUCCCCUUCUUCCUUCCCCUCCUGCUCAUCCAAGUCCUCUUCCCUUUAAAAAUAUAAAAACCAGUGGGGAAGGUUUAGCUCAAGUGGUAGAGUGCCUGCUUAGCAUGCACAAGGUCCUGGGUUCAAUCCCUAGUACCUCCUCUAAAAAUAAAUAAAUAAACCUAAUUACCUCCCCACUCCCCUCCCCCCAGAAAAAGCAAAAAACAAAUUUUAAAAGAAGUAAUGAUAUAAAAACCAAUCUCAGCUCAUAGGUCAUGCACAGACAGGCUGUGAGCCAGGUUUGGCUGCAGUCAGUAGUUUCCACUCCUGUUAGCCCCAUUAUCACUCAUCCUUGUCUACGAGAUGUUUUAAGAGACUAUAUUAAGUGCCUAGAAGGUGGAAAUUCAGACACACACCAUGUCUACUUGGUUUUCCUGAAACGCUGGCCUAGAGUCUAAGGAGGGAAACGCGGUCAGUCUCACGUGACUUGCUUCCGCGAAUGCGUGUUGGCGCCUGGUGAGCAAUGCCGCCCUUUCUCUCAGGAACCUCUUGUGAGUCACACGUGACAUUUUACCUUCUUCGCUGCCAGUAAAUCACGGUUAUCUUCACCCAUGUCUGGCCUUUGGGCCCCACUGUUUCCCCACCAGCCCGCCACGAUGCCCAGAGUGUGUGUGCACCACCUAGACUUGCUGUCUUCAUCCCUUUCAUGUCCUCAUCCAAGUCAGAUGCCUGCACUCACUCGGCACCGGGGAGUCUUCCUAACUCCCCUAACUCCUAAAUUGUUGAAGGAGGGUUUUUCUCUUUCAACGCGCUUUCUGCCUUUUUCAGUUCAAAAAUCACUCUGGACAGAAAAAAAAAAACAAGCCACAUAGGAGUUUAGCGUCAACCUCCCACCACGGCUGAAAGCAACAUACCUCCCCCUUCUUGAUCUGUUUGCUUUUUGUGAAAUAAGGUGUCCAGCCCUUUUGGGGUGGCCCACACGUAUUCUGGAAGCCUCAUCUCAUUCUGGCUGCAGCUUUCUGAUCUGCUCGUACGCCCGGCGUAGGUAACGUGUGCACCUGUGCUGCUUGCUUUUUUCGCAAAGUACUGAGAUCACGCAGAGGAGAAGGAAGGAAAUGGGAGGAGGACGGUCCUUCUCUCCCUGUAAAGGGUUAACUCUUGGGCUUCACCCGUGCUCUCCAGCAGCACCAGGUAGCGGGUCCCGCACCCCGGUAGCAGGUCCAGUUACACGGAUUGUCCUUUAUAACCUGUGGGAAAGGCUCACCUGGAGUGUGUGUAGCCCAGUCUUACAGCCCAGAUGGCAGCCCUGACCUGCAUAUAGUAGACAUUCAGUCAAAAUCAUAAUUCCUGUGUUUUCCACUUUUAAAAAAGUUGUUUUACACAUAAUAUGAAGAAAGAAACAGAGGGAUUUGGGAAGUGGACAAGAAAGCUUUACUGAUGGGUAGGAUGGGCGCACUGAGGCAAAGGCGACAGUGCAGGAUGACUUCUAGGGAGGCUGGGAGAGGAAUAGUUGGGCGGUUGGCCAUGCUGGCAGAAACAGUUCAGAGCCUUGGGCCUGGUUGAGAUCACCCAGGAGCUAAUAGGAGUCAAUAGAGAUCUGGGGCGCAGUUGUCAUGGGCUGGAAAGUGAGGCAGGCAGGUGGGCGACGUUGAGGCUGCUGAGUGUUGCUGAAGGCAGCGCAGUGUGGGCAGAAGGACCUGGGUUUGAAUUCGGGCUCUACCUGCUGCUGCCUGUGUUACUUUGGGCAACUUGACUCUGGAAAUCGGGGGUCGGAUUCCCUGCCCUCCAGGGGAGGGAGCAUCAGAAGCAAAUCCCCAAGUGCAGCACCUGGUAGAGGCCCUGCUGCUACCACUAACUGGGGGACAAUGACAGUGACUAUCCUAUUAUAAUUUCUGAUCAAGAGAAGAAUUAAAAAGACUUGAUGGCUGACAUCAACUUCCAAGUAUCACAGGCAGGACCAGAGCGGUCUCACUCAGUACUGAGGGCUGCCUUUGGUCUUCUGUGCCCUGCUUGUCUCUUCCCCGAGGCUCAUGUGACCUCAACUUGGUUCUGAAUCUGUCGUCCUUACUCUGGCUGUCCCCACCUUUACCAUGGUACACCUCAGCAGUCUUCUGAGUCUGCCUCUUGCCGGCAUCGCUGCCCACCCUACCCCCUCACCAGCCUCGUUCGUGCCUGGGUGGAGAUGGUGACCCAGAGGAUCCCUUUCUGUCCUGUGUCUCAGGAUCAGGCCCUUGGAAGGAAGAUCUUUUCAGUCUUGUGUGGGCUGAGCUUGGCUCCUGGAUGCUACAGGCCUUUGCAGGAGUGCAGGCUGGGAUGGGGGAAGGAUGAGAGACUACACCAAGUUGCAGGCGUUAGCAGGACCACCUGCCUCAUCUGUUUACUCCAAGCUUCCACACCUGACUCCGUGAGGGACGCAGGCCUCAGCCCCCAAGGUGGGCAGCAUCGCCGAGGCUGUUGGUGGUGGCCACCUCUGGCUGUGCUCAACAAAUGCCUCCCAUCCCACUGCCUGCCCUUUCCAUUCUGUUUCUCUGUCUCCCUUCUAUCGUAUUUCCUCCUUUCUCCUCCCACCCAUCCUGGUCUCAGGUUUUCCUGCACUUGGCCUGGAUAGUGGGCCUUCCAGUCCUUGGCUUCAGGACCUGCCACCCGCACCAGGCACAUCCUCCAUGCCUAUCCCUGCCAUGGAACCUUAGCAAGCCAGCCCAGCCUUGGCAGCCCAAAUGCCAGGCCUCUGCCAGGAGCUGUGUGCGUGAUGGACAGAGGCCGGCUAGCCCCCACAGCCCGGGCCUAGCCCCUGCUCCCCGCAGAAGCAAGGCCUGAAGGUUUCCCGUUGGCUGCAGCCUGGCUGAGGCUGUCCUGUGGGAGUCGAGGGUGGGGCGGAGGGGACAGAGGCUGGGGGAAAGCCGCCCUUCCUGCGGUGCCUGCUGAUAAUUGGCUCUCCGGAACCAGCUUGGGACACAAGGGCCAGCGGGGUCAGGAAGUGGCACAAUGCUGCUCUUUCAGGGGGACCCUGCCUGGUCUUAGGUCCUGUGUGACUCGGGGGAAUCUGGAGAACAGCCUGUUCUCAGAGGACAUUCUCCAAGCCAGGCCAGAGGCAACCUUGAAAGGCUUGGCAAAUGUGGUCACUUUGCCCAGAGAUCUCUCUGCAGCCAGGAUCCCAUCUGGAGCUGGGAGAAACAUAGACGGAACUACUGUCACUCAUCAGAGGAAAUCUGAAGGAAAGAGGAUGGCCUGGGAUGAGUCUGGAAGAGAUGCUGAGAAAUGAGGUCCCAGGAGGGCCUCCAUGGGACAUGAGUACUGCCUCACUGGGAGAUGUGGGGGAAUAAACUUUUUACUUCUUUCUCGCAG